rnacentral:lncRNA from 1 species
AUGGAACUAGAGAAGGCAGAAAUGGAACAAUCUACCUAUGUUACAGAAGUCAGAGAGAAAUAUGAAACAAAGUGCUGUAUGAAGGGAGAAAAUACCUUGCUUGAGGUGACUUCUGGUGUGGAGGACAGGAAGCUCAGGAUGUCAAGUACAAGCAGAGAACAGAAGCUGACAGCUCAUCCUAGCUGUUGAAGAAACUGUCCCCAUUCGACAUGCUGUUUACCGUUUACAUAAGAAAUCGCAAGCUGCCAGAGCCAGAGCCGCCUGAUGACUGCGCCAUGCUGACAUGGUGAUAGUUUGCUCUUAAAUUAAAAUGGAGCUGUGUUUGAUUUAUCCUCUUCAGCUGUCACUCCUCACCUCCACUGAACCUUCCCUAAGACCACAAUAAAGAUCAGCUCAAGGUUCCACACUGGGUUCCAACCGUGAAGAAUGGAAUAACCCUGAAACUGGCUCCUUCCAGUAGAACAGUGUUUGCCACCAGCAUUGGGGUGGGGAGGAAAUUGUUUGAAUUUCACAGAAUAAAGGAAACAGGAAAUUAAUCACGAGGCUGACUGUAUCCAUACUGUGCAAGACCAGAAUUGGG